AGGGCAAUAGCUCAGUGGUAGAGUGCGUGCUUAGCAUGCACGAGGUCCUGGGUUCAAUUUCCAGUACCUCUA
rfam:Camelus ferus unplaced genomic scaffold scaffold828, whole genome shotgun sequence.